GACGACGAGGUAGAUAGGUUGGGGGUGGAAGUGCAGUAAUGCAUGGAGCUGACCAAUACUAAUCGGUCGAGGGCUUAUCCUAAA
rnacentral:rRNA from 1 species